AUUGAACGCUGGCGGCAUGCUUUACACAUGCAAGUCGAACGGCAGCGCGGGCUUCGGCCUGGCUGCGAGUGGCGAACGGGUGAGUAAUGCAUCGGAACGUGCCCAGUAGUGGGGGAUAGCCCGGCGAAAGCCGGAUUAAUACUGCAUACGACCUGAGGGUGAAAGCGGGGGACCGAAAGGCCUCGCGCUCUUGGAGCGGCCGAGGUCGGAUUAGCUAGUUGGUGGGGUAAAGGCUUACCAAGGCGACGAUCCGUAGCUGGUCUGAGAGGACGACCAGCCACACUAGGACUGGAACACGGCCCAGACUCCUGCGGGAGGCAGCAGUGGGGAAUUUUGGGCAAUGGGGGCGAACCUGAUCCAGCCAUGCCGCGUGCGAGAAGAAGGCCUUCGGGUUGUGAACCGCGUUUGUUGGGGAAGAAAUGCUCUGGGCUAAGACCAAGGGGGGAUGACGGUACCGGAAGAAGAAGCACCGGCUAACUACGUG
rnacentral:rRNA from 1 species